rnacentral:lncRNA from 1 species
UGGCGGUUCGUCAAAAUUUGAUCCAGACCCACGAGAUUCAGAGCAGAAUUGGAGCACUGAAGAUCAAUAUUCUCGGAGAAAAGGUACACCUUCGUGGUUCCAGAGGGAAAAAAACAGCUCAGAUUUUUAUGAUCUUGGCGCUUCUGAUCGCCGGAUUUGCCCUGGAGAUAACCUCCCGUGCGGCGGCCUUGUAGUCGAAGGAGCAAUCGUGGGCCGCGGAGUGCCGGUGGCGGCAGCAGAAGAGCUCGCCGCAGCGGCACCGGAAGUCGGUCAGCCCCACCCUCCGCCGGCAGCUGGAGCACCGCAACGCCACACGUGGCGGCGUCGCCGUCGCCGCCGUCGC